rfam:Pneumocystis murina mitochondrion, complete genome.
GCAAGUAUAAGUUAAGGGUUAGACUCCAUGCCUUCCAAGCAUAAAGUGCUCGUUCGAUUCGAGUUAUUUGCA